UGCAUCUUAAAGAUAAGUAUUCACUUUAGGCGUCCUUCCUCUAACAGACAGGUGCAAACAGUAAACCCUCUUUUGCAACCCAGAACUCAUUGUUGAGUAUGAGAGUUUGGUACAUGUAAGAAGGAAUAUG